ACGCCCAGUUAAAUUUGAAUUUCAAAUAAAAAAGUAAUAUUUUUUUUAGUGUAAGUAUGCCCCUACAAUAUUUGGGACAUACUUAUACUAAAAAAGUAUUCGUCGUUUAUCUGAAAUUCAAAUUUAAUCGGUCGCCUGU
rnacentral:miRNA from 1 species